rnacentral:rRNA from 1 species
GAUGAACGCUGGCGGCGUGCCUAAUACAUGCAAGUCGAGCGAACGGACGAGAAGCUUGCUUUUCUGAUGUUAGCGGCGGACGGGUGAGUAACAUGUGGAUAACCUACCUAUCAGACUGGGAUAACUACGGGAAACCGGAGCUAAUACCGUAUAAUAUUUUACACCGCAUGGUUCAAAGGUGAAAUACGGUCUUGCGGUCACUUAUAGAUGGAUCCGCGCUGCAUUAGCUAGUUGGUAAGGUAACGGCUUAUCAAGGCAACGAUGCAUAGCCGACCUGAGCGGGUGGUCGGCCACACUGGAACUGAGACACGGUCCAGACUCCUGCGGGAGGCAGCAGUAGGGAAUCUUACGCAAUGGGCGAAAGCCUGACGGAGCAACGCCGCGUGAGUGAUGAAGGUCCUCGGAUCGUAAAACUCUGUUAUUAGGGAAGAACCUAUGUGUAAGUAACUGUGCACAUAUUGACGGUACCUAGUCAGAAAGCCACGGCUAACUACGUG